CUGGCGGCGUGCUUAACACAUGCAAGUCGAACGCGAAAGGGACUUCGGUCCUGAGUAAAGUGGCGCACGGGUGAGUAACGCGUAGAUAACCUGUCUUCAUGUCUGGAAUAAUACGCCGAAAGGGGUACUAAUACCGGAUAUUCUUGCUUUUCAUAAGUUAUGCAAGCAAAGGUGGCCUCUGCAUAUGCUACUGCAUGAAGAGGGGUCUGCGUACCAUUAGCUAGUAGGUGGGGUAAUGGCCUACCUAGGCGACGAUGGUUAGCGGGUCUGAGAGGAUGAUCCGCCACACUGGCACUGGAACACGGGCCAGACUCCUACGGGAGGCAGCAGUGAGGAAUAUUGCGCAAUGGGGGAAACCCUGACGCAGCGACGCCGCGUGAGUGAAGGAAGGCCUUCGGGUCGUAAAGCUCUGUCAAGAGGAAAGAAGUGUACAAUGGCUAAUACCUGUUGUAUUUGACGGUACCUCUAAAGGAAGCACCGGCUAACUCCGUGCCAGCAGCCGC
rnacentral:rRNA from 1 species